AGAGUUUGAUCCUGGCUCAGGACGAACGCUGGCGGCGUGCUUAACACAUGCAAGUCGAACGGUGACGAGGAGCUUGCUCCUCUGAUCAGUGGCGAACGGGUGAGUAACACGUGAGCAACCUGCCCCAGACUCUGGGAUAACAGUUGGAAACAGCUGCUAAUACCGGAUACGAGACGGAGAGGCAUCUCUACCGUCUGGAAAGUUUUUCGGUCUGGGAUGGACUCGCGGCCUAUCAGCUAGUUGGUGAGGUAAUGGCUCACCAAGGCGACGACGGGUAGCCGGCCUGAGAGGGCGACCGGCCACACUGGGACUGAGACACGGCCCAGACUCCUACGGGAGGCAGCAGUGGGGAAUAUUGCACAAUGGGCGAAAGCCUGAUGCAGCGACGCCGCGUGAGGGAUGACGGCCUUCGGGUUGUAAACCUCUUUCAGCAGGGAAGAAGCGAAAGUGACGGUACCUGCAGAAGAAGCACCGGCUAACUAUGUGCCAGCAGCCGCGGUAAUACGUAGGGUGCGAGCGUUGUCCGGAAUUAUUGGGCGUAAAGAGCUUGUAGGCGGUUUGUCGCGUCUGCAGUGAAAAUCCGAGGCUCAACCUCGGACUUGCUGUGGGUACGGGCAGACUAGAGUAUGGUAGGGGAGACCGGAAUUCCUGGUGUAGCGGUGGAAUGCGCAGAUAUCAGGAGGAACACCGAUGGCGAAGGCAGGUCUCUGGGCCAUAACUGACGCUGAGAAGCGAAAGCAUGGGGAGCGAACAGGAUUAGAUACCCUGGUAGUCCAUGCCGUAAACGUUGGGCGCUAGGUGUGGGCUCAUUCCACGAGCUCCGUGCCGCAGCUAACGCAUUAAGCGCCCCGCCUGGGGAGUACGGCCGCAAGGCUAAAACUCAAAGGAAUUGACGGGGGCCCGCACAAGCGGCGGAGCAUGCGGAUUAAUUCGAUGCAACGCGAAGAACCUUACCAAGGCUUGACAUAUACCGGAAACAUCCAGAGAUGGGUGCCCCGCAAGGUCGGUAUACAGGUGGUGCAUGGUUGUCGUCAGCUCGUGUCGUGAGAUGUUGGGUUAAGUCCCGCAACGAGCGCAACCCUCGUUCUAUGUUGCCAGCGCGUAAUGGCGGGGACUCAUAGGAGACUGCCGGGGUCAACUCGGAGGAAGGUGGGGAUGACGUCAAAUCAUCACGCCCCUUAUGUCUUGGGCUUCACGCAUGCUACAAUGGCCGGUACAAAGGGCUGCGAUACCGCGAGGUGGAGCGAAUCCCAAAAAACCGGUCUCAGUUCGGAUUGGGGUCUGCAACUCGACCCCAUGAAGUCGGAGUCGCUAGUAAUCGCAGAUCAGCAACGCUGCGGUGAAUACGUUCCCGGGCCUUGUACACACCGCCCGUCAAGUCACGAAAGUCGGUAACACCCGAAGCCGGUGGCCCAACCCUUGUGGAGGGAGCCGUCGAAGGUGGGACUGGCGAUUGGGACUAAGUCG
rnacentral:rRNA from 1 species